GACUCAAUAGUUUAUAAAAAAUAAUGAUUUUGUAAUUCAUAGAAAGUAAAAGUCU
rnacentral:tRNA from 1 species